rnacentral:rRNA from 1 species
UACGGAAGGCAGCAGUGGGGAAUAUUGCACAAUGGGCGCAAGCCUGAUGCAGCCAUGCCGCGUGUAUGAAGAAGGCCUUCGGGUUGUAAAGUACUUUCAGUCGUGAGGAAGGUGUUAAGGUUAAUAACCUUAGCAAUUGACGUUAGCGACAGAAGAAGCACCGGCUAACUCCGUGCCAGCAGCCGCGGUAAUACGGAGGGUGCGAGCGUUAAUCGGAAUUACUGGGCGUAAAGGGCACGCAGGCGGUUAAUUAAGUUGGAUGUGAAAUCCCCGGGCUUAACCUGGGAAUGGCAUUCAAGACUGGUUAGCUAGAGUCUUGUAGAGGGGGUAGAAUUCCACGUGUAGCGGUGAAAUGCGUAGAGAUGUGGAGGAAUACCGGUGGCGAAGGCGGCCCCUGGGACAAAGACUGACGCUCAUGUGCGAAAGCGUGGGGAGCAAACAGGGAUUAGAUACC